CCAAGGUGUCCCCAGUCCUUGUUCAGGACAGAACAGGGACCAUUAACCAUGGAGUUCGGGCUCAGCUGGAUUUACCUUGUUGUUAUCUUAGGAGGUGUCCAGUGUGAAGUGCAACUGGUGGAGUCUGGGGGAGGCUUGGUGCAGCCUGGAGGGUCCCUGAAGCUCUCCUGUGUAGCCUCUGGAUUCCCUUUCAGUAGUGCUGGAAUGAACUGGGUCCGCCAGGCUCCUGGGAAAGAGCUGGAGUGGGUUGCAAUUAUAUGGUAUGAUGGAAGUCAGAAAUACUAUGCAGAUUCUGUGAAAGGCCGAUUCACCAUCUCAAGAGACAAUGCCAAGAACACCCUGUAUCUGGAAAUGAACAACCUGAGACCUGAAGACACAGCCAUGUAUUACUGUACAAAUAACACAGUGAGGAGAAGUCAGGGUCAGCCCAAACAGAAACCUCCCAGGGUGAAGACAGCAGGGCUGGAAUGCAGGGAACACCAAAGACACCAGGGGGAGCUCUGGAUCCACGGUGAUUGA